rnacentral:rRNA from 1 species
GUGGGGAAUUUUGGACAAUGGGCGCAAGCCUGAUCCAGCAAUGCCGCGUGCAGGAAGAAGGCCUUCGGGUUGUAAACUGCUUUUGUACGGAACGAAACGGUCCUGGUUAAUACCUGGGGCUAAUGACGGUACCGUAAGAAUAAGCACCGGCUAACUACGUGCCAGCAGCCGCGGUAAUACGCAGGGUGCGAGCGUUAAUCGGAAUUACUGGGCGUAAAGCGUGCGCAGGCGGUGCUGUAAGACAGGCGUGAAAUCCCCGGGCUCAACCUGGGAAUUGCGCUUGUGACUGCAGUGCUGGAGUACGGCAGAGGGGGAUGGAAUUCCGCGUGUAGCAGUGAAAUGCGUAGAUAUGCGGAGGAACACCGAUGGCGAAGGCAGUCCCCUGGGCCUGUACUGACGCUCAUGCACGAAAGCGUGGGGAGCAAACAGGAUUAGAAACCCUUGUAGUCC